AGUCUGCCUGUGGUGCAUGCAGUCAAAUUUCCGAGCAGCCUUAGCCCUGUGGAGGGCCAGACAUGGACCCCAUUUUAACCCACAUCUGGUGACCAAUGUGGGGCAGAACCAGCUAAAGUGUACCCUUAUCUGGGACCUACACACAGAGACCCACAUCAAUACUCCAAAUUGCCCAAGACUAUCUCCUGCAGGAGUGGUGUCAUUGAACCAAUUUACUCUCCCAGCUUCCUGAGUAGCAGACAGUAUCUCUCCAUACUUUACUAAUUGUUUACAGGAAACAUCAAUGCCUAUGUUGAUAUGAAAUUAUUACAACAGGGAUUAAAACAGGGUACUACAUUCCUGGUUAGGAUUCAGAGAAAGGAAUAGGUUUUAUUAAAUAAGGAUAUGUGAUAUGUC
ensembl:lincRNA